GCAUCGCCAUAUAACCCUUGUCGCACCUGAUCUCAUCAAAUCUCAGAAGCUAAGCAGAGUUAAAGCUGGUUAAUACUUGCAUGAGAUAACUCAGGAAUACCAGGUGUUGUAAGCU
rnacentral:rRNA from 1 species